rnacentral:rRNA from 1 species
CUACGGGCGGCACCAGUGAGGAAUUUUGCGCAAUGGGGGAAACCCUGACGCAGCAACGCCGCGUGAGCGAAGAAGGCCCUCGGGUCGUAAAGCUCUGUCAAGUGGGAAAAAAAUUCUUUGGUGAAUAGCCGAAGGACUUGAUGGUACCACUGGAGGAAGCACCGGCUAACUCCGUGCCAGCAGCCGCGGUAAUACGGAGGGUGCAAGCGUUGUUCGGAUUUACUGGGCGGAAAGAGCGGGUAGGCGGUUUAGCAAGUCAGAUGUGAAAGCCCUGGGCUCAACCCGGGAAGUGCAUUUGAAACUGCUUCACUAGAGUAUGGGAGAGGAGAUUGGAAUUCCUGGUGUAGAGGUGAAAUUCGUAGAUAUCAGGAGGAACACCCGUGGCGAAGGCGAUUCUCUGGACCAAUACUGACGCUGAGACGCGAAAGCGUGGGGAGCAAACAGGAUUAGAUACCCCGGUAGUC